GGAAUCUUCCACAAUGGGCGAAAGCCUGAUGGAGCAACGCCGCGUGUGUGAUGAAGGCUUUCGGGUCGUAAAACUCUGUUGUUAAAGAAGAACAUAUCUGAGAGUAACUGUUCAGGUAUUGACGGUAUUUAACCAGAAAGCCACGGCUAACUACGUGCCAG
rnacentral:rRNA from 1 species